rnacentral:lncRNA from 1 species
GUGUAGAAAUACUGAGUGAUGAGUGUGGAUAGUUGUUAGAGAAUAAAUAGUAUUGAGCGUGACCAUAUGAGAGAUCACUUGGAUUUCUACUUGAUCAUCAGUGAUUGUCUUGAUGCUGUAGUUGUGUGAAUGAUCUUUUGAUCUGUGAUGGUACGACAACUCAUAGUGAGACUGCUGUAGUUUGUCUGACACAUAAACAUGAUCUCAGUGAGCCCUUGUAGUGGAUAUUGGUGAUAGUUGAUCCACUAUAGGAGUAGGGUAUACAUCAAGAUGGAAUCUAUCGAUCUUGAUAGAAAAGAGUAGUCCUAUGAGAUUUGAGAAGCUAAGUCUGAGAGUCUGUGGCUACAGCAAUGUGAUUGAUGAAAAAAAAUUUUUAUAAAGAUUACAAUUGGACUUGAGCUGAUCAAAUCUAUCAUAUGACUGAUGAUGAGGUUUGACAAUUUAUCCAUGAUCUGCCAUCUAGUCGGGGCUCACGAUAGAGGGACUGAAUCACACAUGAACUACACCUUAAGGUUCUUUUUUGGUUCUACUGGGUUGCCACUACAUACUGCUAGGUGUCAUUGGUAGAUUGUGAGAGCUCACUAGAGUUACUCAAGAUCGACAAUCCUUGAUGAGUUAGAGUGAAAUUAUUCCAAUCC